rnacentral:rRNA from 1 species
CAGUCGCCACGGUAACACGUAGGGUGCGAGCGUUGUCCGGAAUUAUUGGGCGUAAAGGGCUCGUAGGCGGUUUGUCGCGUCGGGAGUGAAAACACUGGGCUUAACCGAGUGCUUGCUUUCGAUACGGGCAGACUAGAGGCAUUCAGGGGAGAACGGAAUUCCUGGUGUAGCGGUGAAAUGCGCAGAUAUCAGGAGGAACACCGGUGGCGAAGGCGGUUCUCUGGGAAUGUCCUGACGCUGAGGAGCGAAAGUGUGGGGAGCGAACAGGAUUAGAUACCCGAGUAGUCCCUGUCUCUUAUAU